CGGACGGGUGAGUAACGCGUGGGGAUCUGUCUCCGGGUGGGGGGAUAACCAUGGGAAACUAUGGCUAAUACCGCAUGAUACCCGAGGGUCAAAGGCGCAAGUCGCCUGGAGAGGAGCCCGCGUACGAUUAGCUUGUUGGUGAGGUAAUGGCUCACCAAGGCGACGAUCGUUAGCUGGUCUGAGAGGAUGAUCAGCCACAUUGGGACUGAGACACGGCCCAA
rnacentral:rRNA from 1 species